UUGUUUCCAAUGAAACUGCUAUAAAACAUCAUUAAAGGACAGUCUUAAACACAAGUGAAAUGGGACCAGGAAAAUCAGACAUAAAGAAAAAGAAACAAAAAUGGUAAAUAUUUGGGUAACUAUAUUACCUAUUUUUCUUCUCUUGUGAUUUGUACAAUAUAUUUGGUGGUUAUAUCAACUAACAAAAUUUAAGAUUGUUGUUGUAUUUAUCGGCCUUUUUUUUUUUUUUGGCUGAGUUCCUGGCAUUAUAAUUUUCUGAGUAGCAGGAGUGUCUGACUAGAAGCAGUAGCGA
rnacentral:lncRNA from 1 species